GAAAAUAGUGAGUAGCAGGAGCAGCAGCAACACAGUGAAAAGUUUAAGAAAAGAAAGAUACAUGGACGGAUUACGGAUGUAAACAAGAAAAUAAUGGUAAGCAGUCAUGAACUAGGAAAUGACUGUAAGUGUAAAAGACUGAGAUGUUUCGAGAAAACCAGUAGUGAAGAAAGGCAGAUACUUUUGAAGAACUUUAAUCUAUUAGCAUCAAACAAUGAACAAAGUUUACAUUUAUGUGGUUUGAUAAGAUGUAAAUCUAUUAAAAGAAGACGUCCUUAAAAAGAUGAAAAUGUAGCUCUAUUACAUGAUAAUUCAUAUACAUAUAGUGUCAAAGUGGUAAGACAAAAUGCAAUUUUAGAAGUCGAUGUGUGCUACAAGGCAUUUUUGGCAAUACAUGGGAUUACAAAAACCAAAUUAGAAUAUUUGCAAAAAUCCCUAAAAACAUCGGGUAAGGCCCCUGUUGAUUUGAGAGGUUGGAAGUAUUUAAAUCGACCUAGAAAAAUUUCUGACCAGACGAAUGAAAAUGUGGUUACCCAUAUUAAAUCAUUUCAGGGAAACAAAAGCCAUUAUGGUCUCAAAAAAUCAGAUCGUCUUUAUUUAAGUGAAUAUCUUAAUAUUGCAAAAAUGUAUAAACUAUAUCAAAACAAAUUUCCUAAUCAUCCUGUUUCAUACGAGUUCUAUAGAAAUGUUUUUAAUACAAAAUUCAACACAUCAUAUCGUUCGGGUACCCUCGUAAAGACACCUGUAGUGUUUGUGAUCAAUAUACUGCAACAAAAAAAGAUUUAACAUUAAAACUUGAAAAUAAUAAGAAUAUGCCAACUUUUACAUCAGUUCUUGCCGAGAUACAGAAAUCAUUGCUAACACUGGAGAAUGAAAAUAAGCUCCACAAAAUAAAGGCCCAAGUAUUUUACGACCGAAAAAAAUCUUCAAGAAUCAGGUGCCAGAAAGAUAAAGAUCGUGAAGCUAUCUGUCUCGAUUUCCAAAAGAAUGUACCCGUUCCAAACAUCACAACGAUGUUUACUACAAGAGACAGUUAUCUGUGUACCUGUUCAACAUUCACAUCUUAGCAAGUGGUGAGUCCGUCUUUUACGUAUAUCGAGAAACAGUGGCAAAAGGAAGUAACGAAGUUCUUCCAAUGCUAAAUCAUUUUGUUGAAAAUUACCUUGACCCCCAGAUAAAACACCUUGAAGUAUUUUGCGACUCGUGUGGGGGUCAAAAUAAAAACUAUAUCAUGAUCAAAUACAUGCAUUAUAUUGUUCAUAUCAAAAAAAGACUGGGGUCUUUUAAAAUAACUUUUCCAAUUAGGAGGCACUCUUAUUUAGAGUGCGCCCGAAACAUGGCCUCUCUGAACCAAAAACACCCUGUUGAGCUGCCGAGCCACUGGGUCGAAGAAAUAGAAAGGUUAAGCCAGCACCAUUUCAUGUGGAAAACCUGGAAGAGGGCCACGACAUAAUAAGAAACUGAGUUUUUUUUUUGUGAAGCUGAAUUAUAAGAAAAAUUGUCCGUUCGCAAUACGCCCUGUAAGGGAAAUCGAAAUCACAAUUAGGCACCCUCGACUUGUUUCACAUAGAUGUUCCUAUAAUGGGUGUCGGGAACAAAGCUCAGUACUACCACCUAUACAGACAAGAAUUUAUCCUGUAUUGCGAAAUGAUAAAUUUUUAUAUCCUGACCGAAAGUAUGAAGGUCUAAUCCCAAUAAGCGAGGAAAAAUUUAAAGAUUUGCAAGCUCUGAAAGUGUUCUGUUCUCAAGAAGCUCAAAACUAUUAUAAUAAGUUACCUCAUGCCGCUAAAAACAAAAAGAAAAAGCAGCAAUAAAACUACGGAGGUCUUAAAUCAAUAUGGAACAAAUACUAUAACUAUGAUAGAUGAAACCUCGAAAUAUUGGACAUUACCCCUUUUUACUUUGGAAAUUGAUUUUUUUUGGACAUUCCUCAUUUUUGCUAUGGAGAAUUGCAAGUUUUUUAGUUUUUUGUAUAUUUUUUGUAUUGAAAUGUGUUUUGAAAUACAAUGCUUUUGAAUACGUGUAGCAGACAGUUAAAUAAAUAAUAUUUGACAUAU